rnacentral:rRNA from 1 species
GAUGAACGCUGGCGGCGUGCCUAAUACAUGCAAGUCGAACGAAGAUUGAAGAAGCUUGCUUCUUCAAUCUUAGUGGCGAACGGGUGAGUAAUACAUAAGCAACCUGCCUCUAUGCCUGGGAUAACAGUUGGAAACGACUGCUAAUACCGGAUAACUUCUUCUACCUCAUGGUAGUUGAAUAAAGAUGGGAUACAUUACAUAGAGAUGGGCUUAUGGCGCAUUAGUUAGUUGGUGGGUAAAGGCGUCGACCAAGACGAUGAUGCGUAGCCGACCUGAGAGGGCGGACGGCCACACUGGGACUGAGACAGGCCCAGACUCCUACGGGAGGCAGCAGUGGGGGAUAUUGCGCAAUGGGGGAAACCCUGACGCAGCAACGCCGCGUGAAGGAGAAGGUCUUCGGAUUGAAACUUUUGCUUUUGGGACGAAUAAUGACGGU